GAGUAGCUGGGACCACAGGUGUGCACCACCGCACCCAGCUAAGGAUACUGGCAAGGUCAAGACCCUGAAGGGCCAUCUCAUCCAUGAAAAAAAGACUAGUCUCUGGUGCCUGGAAGGAAGCAAAUACAUGUCUCCCUGGAAGGAAACUCCUGCAACCUGAAAGACGGGCUUGUUCUAACGAUGUCCAAGCUCCGCGAGGGAGAGAAACACGUGAGAAAGCAUCACAGGUUGAGGAAUUGUUACAUACAGAGAAGUGCACAGAGCAGAAGGGGAUGGCUAGCAAGUUACCACAACGCCUGGCAGAGAAGCAGAACUCUGGACAUCAACGAGCCCUCCUGGCGCCCCGCCCUGCCCCCCCGGGGCUGCUCUGUUUUUCAUCUGGCCCCCAGAGACCUGGAUACGUUGCACAGAUGCUGACAGCAGGUGGCAGUGUGGAGCAGCGGUGUGACACCUGCAGGGCCCUCCGGGGACACCACAUAAGGGCAGCCACAGUGUCCCGGAGCCCAUGCAGUGUGACAGCCCCAGGUAACUCUCCAGCCAGCACUCCACCCGUGGAAUUACAGCCGACUGAAGCACCUCUGCUACAUUCGUCAGCUUGAUAAAUGUCCAAGGAAUGAACCAAGCACAGGGACCAUCUCUUCCGGUAGCUUCUCACCAUCACACACACUUUGCAGGGCCGAGGGCUCUUCCUGGCCCAUAUCUAGCACCUAGAUAUUUUAUUCACUUAUGUUUUGAAUAUUUCAUGGGUCCUUCUCCCCCAGAGGCCUCAGAGCACUCCCAGAAUUGGAAUGGAAAUACACAGUGUGUCCUUGUCAGCUGUCCGGGCCGCCGCGUUCAAAGGGCAGGACAUAGUAGCUUCUGCUCAAAUUAGAAUGAUCUGUCUCGUCAAGCGGAAGAUGGUUGUUGAGACUUUGUGUCUUUAAAGUAUUGCCUAAAAAAGCAAGAUUAAAUGAACGCA
rnacentral:lncRNA from 1 species